CGCCCCAGCAAUGGGCAAAGAGACGCCAUGUUGGUGGUGGUGUUCUAAUGUCAGUCAGGGGCAGAGCAGGUGGCAGUCCUUUGUCCAUCCUAGCCUGAUGCCGGGUUUGGUAGCCAAAGCUGGUUUAAUGCCUAGGACUCAGGA